rnacentral:rRNA from 1 species
AGAGUUUGAUCAUGGCUCAGAUUGAACGCUGGCGGCAGGCCUAACACAUGCAAGUCGAGCGGUAGCACAGAGAGCUUGCUCUCGGGUGACGAGCGGCGGACGGGUGAGUAAUGUCUGGGAAACUGCCUGAUGGAGGGGGAUAACUACUGGAAACGGUAGCUAAUACCGCAUAACGUCGCAAGACCAAAGUGGGGGACCUUCGGGCCUCAUGCCAUCAGAUGUGCCCAGAUGGGAUUAGCUAGUAGGUGGGGUAACGGCUCACCUAGGCGACGAUCCCUAGCUGGUCUGAGAGGAUGACCAGCCACACUGGAACUGAGACACGGUCCAGACUCCUACGGGAGGCAGCAGUGGGGAAUAUUGCACAAUGGGCGCAAGCCUGAUGCAGCCAUGCCGCGUGUGUGAAGAAGGCCUUCGGGUUGUAAAGCACUUUCAGCGGGGAGGAAGGCGUUGAGGUUAAUAACCUUAGCGAUUGACGUUACCCGCAGAAGAAGCACCGGCUAACUCCGUGCCAGCAGCCGCGGUAAUACGGAGGGUGCAAGCGUUAAUCGGAAUUACUGGGCGUAAAGCGCACGCAGGCGGUCUGUCAAGUCGGAUGUGAAAUCCCCGGGCUCAACCUGGGAACUGCAUUCGAAACUGGCAGGCUAGAGUCUUGUAGAGGGGGGUAGAAUUCCAGGUGUAGCGGUGAAAUGCGUAGAGAUCUGGAGGAAUACCGGUGGCGAAGGCGGCCCCCUGGACAAAGACUGACGCUCAGGUGCGAAAGCGUGGGGAGCAAACAGGAUUAGAUACCCUGGUAGUCCACGCCGUAAACGAUGUCGAUUUGGAGGUUGUGCCCUUGAGGCGUGGCUUCCGGAGCUAACGCGUUAAAUCGACCGCCUGGGGAGUACGGCCGCAAGGUUAAAACUCAAAUGAAUUGACGGGGGCCCGCACAAGCGGUGGAGCAUGUGGUUUAAUUCGAUGCAACGCGAAGAACCUUACCUGGUCUUGACAUCCACAGAACUUUCCAGAGAUGGAUUGGUGCCUUCGGGAACUGUGAGACAGGUGCUGCAUGGCUGUCGUCAGCUCGUGUUGUGAAAUGUUGGGUUAAGUCCCGCAACGAGCGCAACCCUUAUCCUUUGUUGCCAGCGGUCCGGCCGGGAACUCAAAGGAGACUGCCAGUGAUAAACUGGAGGAAGGUGGGGAUGACGUCAAGUCAUCAUGGCCCUUACGACCAGGGCUACACACGUGCUACAAUGGCAUAUACAAAGAGAAGCGACCUCGCGAGAGCAAGCGGACCUCAUAAAGUAUGUCGUAGUCCGGAUUGGAGUCUGCAACUCGACUCCAUGAAGUCGGAAUCGCUAGUAAUCGUAGAUCAGAAUGCUACGGUGAAUACGUUCCCGGGCCUUGUACACACCGCCCGUCACACCAUGGGAGUGGGUUGCAAAAGAAGUAGGUAGCUUAACCUUCGGGAGGGCGCUUACCACUUUGUGAUUCAUGACUGGGGUGAAGUCGUAACAAGGUAACCGUAGGGGAACCUGCGGUUGGAUCACCU